rnacentral:rRNA from 1 species
UUUAUGGAGAGUUUGAUCCUGGCUCAGGAUGAACGCUGGCGGCGUGCCUAAUACAUGCAAGUCGAGCGAACGGACGAGAAGCUUGCUUCUCUGAUGUUAGCGGCGGACGGGUGAGUAACACGUGGAUAACCUACCUAUAAGACUGGGAUAACUUCGGGAAACCGGAGCUAAUACCGGAUAAUAUUUUGAACCGCAUGGUUCAAAAGUGAAAGACGGUCUUGCUGUCACUUAUAGAUGGAUCCGCG